UGCACAUAUCAAGUAUCAAUCAACAAGGCUUAGAUACUCUGCCUGUCUAUCAGAUAGACUAGAGAGUUGGGUCAUAUUCAGUAGGCACAAAAUGUAAGAAAGUACCUCCCUGGAAAGAACAGCUAUAUGAACAAGUAACUCCUUUUCUGUUGCAAAAACAUUUUGCUAUGGUGUGCCCUGAUGGUGGAGCAGGAGCAGUAAAUCAAUGUGAUUUAUGAGAUGCAUGGAUCUGGUGAGGCUACUGGGGUACAAGAUUGGGAGCGUGCUAUGGAAUUCUGCUGCAGACAGUUGCGUGUGGCCAGGUCUCUGUGGACAAAGUGCUGGGAGGCCAGGUAGACCAUGCCUGCAGCAAUCUGCUGGGCGAUGUGCAGCAUCUGGGACUGGGUCAGCUCCACCAUCAGGCUGUGCUGCCCAUCAGCCAUCAGCACCAUGUCAGGACCAUGGGACCUGCACCACAACACAGGAAGAAUGGACACAGGUAGACAUCGGGACACAGGACGGUACCUGAGGAACUUGUUGAGGUCGCCGUGCUUCAUGUACUCGAACACCAUGAUGAGCGGGUCGCUGUCCACACACACGCCGUAGAAGGUGACGAUGUGCUCGUGCUGCAGGUUGGUCAGCAGCUCCGCCUCCCGGUGGAAGUCAGCACGGCCGCUCUCACUGGCCUCUUUCAACGUCUGAGGAGGACAGGGAUGUGCGUGCAUGGGUACGCAUGCACACAUAAUUAUCAUAAUUGAUUGCUGGGAUUGUUGAUUUUUUUUCAGUCUCCUUCCUACAAAGUUCAAUUAAAUCCAAAGAGAUAUUAGUUUGUGGUACUAUUAUCCAAAACAAUGCACAAUGAAAAGCACAAACUGCAAUUUUUUAUAUCAAAGCCAGGACAAAAGACCCAUUGUUUCAUUAUUUGACUUUUGUAAAGUGUAUGUUGAUAGUUUGAAAUAACUGCGUGGAGAGGUGUACUUUACCUUGACAGCCACCAGGAUCUUGUCCUGAUCUGGAGUCAGGUUGUAGCACUCAGCCAGAAACACCUUCCCAAAUGCCCCCUCUCCCAGCUCACGCUUCAACACAAUGUUGUGUCUCUUGAUGUGCUGGACAACUGAGAUGUAAAGAGAGACACAGUUAGGCUAUGAAAAAAAUGAUGUUUUGUCAAAUACACUGGAUAGGUGCAGUGAAAUGUUUUGUUUUACAGGGUAAGCCAUAGUAUUUUCGGCGCCCCUGGAGCAAAGAAGGGUUAAGUGCCUUGCUCAAGAGCACAUUGAAAUAUUUUUCUUCUUGUCGGCUCAGUUACUGGCCCAAUGCUCUAGGCUAUCGGCCACCCAAGGCUCAUAAAAGGCCUAUUAAGAAGGGUGAACUGACCAGGAAAACCUCCUGGCCCUAGUUAUAAUUAGUCAGGUCAAGAGGUGAAGAAAACCUCCUGGCCCUACUCAUUACAUACACUGAAGCUAUAGCAACAGCCCUAGUCUACUGCUGUAUAGAGGAUAUCCACAGACGAAAAUAGAAUAAUGUACUGUUCGCUUGUCAGACCAGUUUGGUAGCCAUUAUGGUAGGCGUUAUGGUAGCCAUUAACAGAACUACAUUUCUCACAGGGCAACAAGUGCAAAAGUCAGAUGUGUUUGUCUGGGUUUACCAAAGCUAUCUAUGGCCAGAAUGUAUGUCCAGUGAUAGCAGGGGAGGCUCAUAAUAAUGGCUGUAAUGGAGUCAAUGGAAUGGUAUCACAUGUGGUUGAUGCCAUUCCAUUGACU